rnacentral:lncRNA from 1 species
CUCCAUCCUGAUCGAUCGUUUGAUUAUUGGCGAGCUUCAUUCCAUUCCAUCAGUUCCUUUGGCGGAGGAUGUCGUGCUGCGGAGGCAACUGCGGGUGCGGCUCCGGCUGCAAGUGCGGCAGCGGCUGCGGAGGGUAAUAAGCCUGCCUGUGCCUGCACUUCUUCCCUUCCCUUAUUCCUCUCUCUCUUUCUCUCUCUCUCUCUCUCUCUCGGAGUCAGAUCUGAUGAUGAAAUGGUGGGUUCCCUGCUGAUCUGGCUCUGUUUUCGCCUUGCGGCUUCAUCAGACCUGUGCUUCGAUCCGGCAGGCUGUGCUUCCGUAGAAAUGUUCUCUCUCUUUUUUAAUAACAUACAUAAAAACAAAAAACUUUUGGGGGGGGUAUACAAGUAAUAGAAUAUGUCAUGAUUUUAUUAGCCUGUGUGUAUGGAUCUUUGAUGCUGGAGGGAGGAUUAUGUGCAGAGAUAGGAGAUCGUUCUCUCCCUCCCUCCCACGGCUGCGGGCGGCUUGAUUUUCUUAUGAAAGUUCUUGUUUUUUCAAGGUCGUAUAUGAUGAUUUUUCUGGCCGGGUUGUUCGUCGUGCUCAUCGUCAUCCUAUCGAUCUGUCUGUGUGUAUGCAGGUGCAAGAUGUACCCGGACAUGGCUGAGCAGCAGGUGACCACCACCGCCAAGACUCUCGUCAUGGGUGUCGCACCAUCGUCCAAGGGGUAUGUAUAUAUGCAUGCUCCCUCAUCCCUCUCUCGUUUUCUGUACAGUUCUGCUUUCUUGGCUCCAUCGAUAUGACGGGCUCCUAGCUAAUAAUUAAUAGCCAGCAACACAUGUGGUGAUCUCUACUCUACUAUUUUUGUCCUAUUUGCCAUCGAUUUUUGUACUGCUAGCAGCACUGGAGUAACGUGUAGUGAAAGUUUCAUCAGCAACCGUAAAAAGGUGACGACACCGAAAUCACACGCUGCGAUGUCAUGUGCCAUCGUCAAGGAAUUAAUUAAACACUGAGAUAGACAUGCAUGCUUCUGCUGCUUUUCUCUGCGCCAGCAAAGAAAACCUUGAAAAACAACACUGAUAUGACGAUAGUCUUUUUUUUUUUUUGUUGGCACUUGUCAUGUACUGAAAAGUCUUGACACGGCAUACGUUCUGGUAGGGAACAUGACAAAGAUCGAUCUCUGGUCACUCGUCUGCUCCCCCUACCUGCACGUUGUAUCAUGUAAAUCCACAGUAUAUAUGCUGCUGUGUAUUGUUAUACAUGUAUGUAUGUAGCUAGUACUCCUGUGAGAGCACGCAUGCGCACGUACUGACUGUGUUUGCCUGGUACGUGACGAUGGAUGCAGGCACGCCGAGGGCGGGUUCGAGGCGGCGGCCGGCGCCGGAGCUGAGAACGACGGGUGCAAGUGCGGCCCCAACUGCAGCUGCAACCCCUGCACCUGCAAGUGAGCUGUAUAAUAACCCCCUGCACUGCACUGCAGCCCGGAGGAAGGACGGAUUCCCUUAGCUGUAGUAUAGCAGUGUCGUCACUGUGUGUGUGUUUGAGUCAGCCAGUCAGUCGAGUGCCAUGGCACCAUAUGCUAGUGGUUCUGGUACUGAUGGGAACCAAUAAUAAUUGUACUGGGAUGUUGGCGUC